rnacentral:tRNA from 1 species
GGUCUGGUAGCUCAGCUGGAUAGAGCAACAGCCUUCUAAGCUGUGGGUCCCGGGUUCGAAUCCCGGCCGGAUCACCA